GGCGUUUUAUAACGUACUUGGAACAGAACUAGCUAUUCCAAUAACAGCUGAUGACUCCUGCUCAGAAAAGUGAAGGACAACACAACGACAAAGGCAGUUUGGUCGAGAUUUGAAGUAGGAGGACACAUUGCAAAAAAUCCCAACAGUUUUUCAUACAUUGCAUGUCUACAUGUAACUCUCCUUUUUAUUAAAUAUUUUUAGAUUGCA